UACGUAGGAUGCGAGCGUUGUCCGGAAUUAUUGGGCGUAAAGCGAACGUAGGCGGUUUCUUAAGAUCGGUCUUAAAGACCGGGGCUCAACCCCGGGACUGGACCGAUAACUGGGAGACUGGAGGACGUCAGAGGAAAGUGGAAUUCCGAGUGUAGCGGUGAAAUGCGUAGAUAUUCGGAGGAACACCAGUGGCGAAAGCGACUUUCUGGGGCGUUCCUGACGCUGAGGUUCGAAAGCUCGGGGAG
rnacentral:rRNA from 1 species